GUAGGUGUGUUAAAAGCACACUCCUUUAUGCGUACAAGGUGGUAAGCAUUACGAAGGUCCAACUUGGUUAAAACCUUGGCUCCACUAAGCAGUUUGAAAGCUGAGGAGAUGAGUGGAAGGGGGUACCUGUUGCGAAUGGUGAUGCCAUGUUAUCUGUAGUCAAUGCAAGGCCAAAGAGAUUUGUCCUUCUUCUCCACAAAGAAAAACCAUGCUCCAGCUGGAGAUGAAGAAAGACGGAUGAUGCCAGCUGUCGAUGGCUCUUCCACUUAGUCAGUCAUGGCCUUCAUCUCUGGACCUGAAGGAGAGUAAAGCCGCCCCCUAGGCGGCAAGGUGCCUGGGAGCAAGUCUAUGGCAUAGUCAUAGGGCCUGUUAGGGGGAAGAGACUUGGCUCUGGGCUUGCUGAAUACUUCUUUCAAUUCACAAUAACAGGAGGGAACACGAGAAAGAUCAGGAUAAUCAACUUUACUGUCAUCAGCAUCAGAGACAUUAGCAGAAGCUCUCUUAUUCACACAAGAUGCAAAUGACUGACAGACGUUGCGACUACAAGCCUCUCCCCAGGCUAAGAUCUCACCAGUAGACCAGUCUGUGUGGGUUGUGCAAUUUUAACCAGGGGUGUCCCAGUAUUAGCUGAUGUUGAGAUACCUCAAAUACAUGGAAACUAAUCUUCUCAAAGUGGCUGUCAGGGAAAGAGAGGGUUAAAGUUUGUGUCCUGUGAGCAACCCUCCCCAUUGAGUGUCCAUCAACAGCCUUGACAUCCAGUUGUUUGGACAGCUGGAACAUCCUCAGCCCCAGCUCUGACCUUAACUGAUGAUCCACUGCCUUGAAGAUGACAUUGGACCAACAGAUGUCCUAACUGACCACAGUAGAUGCAGCGCCCCUCUCAGCUACUCACAGGAGAGAGUCUGGUCCUGCCAACUUGCAUGGACUCCUCCAAAGAAGCGGGAGACACAGGAAUCACACUAACAGGAGGCCUCUGCCAGGAGCCCAGGAGAUUUGGGGGUCAUCUGCUGGUAAGAGGGGUAGAGCGCUCUCUGGUGCGCUCUCUCUCUCGCUCAAACAGCCGCUUGUCAAUUUUAAUGGCUAGGGCACAAAUAGAGUCCAAGUCAUCAGGGGGAUCUAAAGGUACCAGAUCCUCCAGGAAGUCGUCAAAAUGGGUAGAGGGGUUCCAGUCACUUUCAGCGGCAAGAGUGCGGAAGUUGAUGGCGUAUUCAGACACUCUUCUUCUACCUUGUCUCAGUCUCACUAGAGCCUGAGCAGUCUCUCGCCCUGGGGAGACGUGUUGAAACACUUGCUUGAAUGUCCUGGUGAAGGCUGCCAAAGAGCUGCAUGUAGGUGAGUCUCUUCUCCACUUAGCUGUAUCCCACGCCUCAGCCUGGCCCGAGAGAUGAGAAAUAAUGUAGGCAAUCUUGGCUUGAUCUGAUGGAAAGACAUGGCGCUGCAACUUGAAGUGGAGAUUACACUGAGUCAGGAAAGGUCAGCUGUCCCCUGAGUCCCCGGAGAAUCGCUCAGGUCAUGAAAGUUGGUCAUCAGGGUCUAUUGUUGCUCAGACAACUCUCUUAGGUGAUGAUGGAGAGCACUGAUCUGAUCAUCCUGAUGAGCCAUUCUGUGCCCCUGCUCUCCGAUGGCGUUGCGCACUGGGUCAGAGUCCACUGGGUCCAUAGCUAACCAGUUCGUACUCUAACAACAUACCUGGAUUUGGACCCAAAGGCUGGAGUUAGGAGCCAGAUUAAAGUUCAAAGUACUGUAGGUUUUAAUCAAGUAAAGGGUUCUGUACACAGGAAGGCAGAGGUAUCCAAAUUGACAGGCAAAAAUCAGUCCAAAAACACUAAGUCAAAAACAGGAAGGCAAACACUAGGAAAAUGUUUCAAAAUAAAACAGGAAGUACACAACAAGAAACAUGAGGUAGGGUAAAUAAAUUAACUUAACUAAACCAUAGACAUGACAAUGCUUAAUAGGCUACUAAUCUUCAAUUGCUUUUCCAUUUACCAAAAUAUGCAUCCACCUGUUUAUGAGCUACUGAGACAGUAACAAGUUGUAUUUUUGUAGAUAUUACACCAGGAAAGUCCACCCAUUCUUUGGGAUCUCAAACUAAUAACUUGGCAGAUGCAUUUCUCAGAAAUACUAUGUGUCUGCCAAAACAAAACGUGAAUCCAGUUAAGUUUCUGAUCCUUUUGUAAUUACACCAGUGAAACAUUUGGACUGAUAACACGUUUAAUCUCAUGG